GACGAACGCUGGCGGCGUGCUUAACACAUGCAAGUCGAACGGAAAGGCCCUGCUUUUGUGGGGUGCUCGAGUGGCGAACGGGUGAGUAACACGUGAGUAACCUGCCCUUGACUUUGGGAUAACUUCAGGAAACUGGGGCUAAUACCGGAUAGGAGCUCCUGCUGCAUGGUGGGGGUUGGAAAGUUUCGGCGGUUGGGGAUGGACUCGCGGCUUAUCAGCUUGUUGGUGGGGUAGUGGCUUACCAAGGCUUUGACGGGUAGCCGGCCUGAGAGGGUGACCGGCCACAUUGGGACUGCGGUACGGCUCAGACUCCUACGGGAGGCAGCAGUGGGGAAUAUUGCACAAUGGGCGGAAGCCUGAUGCAGCAACGCCGCGUGCGGGAUGACGGCCUUCGGGUUGUAAACCGCUUUCGCCUGUGACGAAGCGUGAGUGACGGUAAUGGGUAGAGAAGCACCGGCUAACUACGUG
rnacentral:rRNA from 1 species